CACCACACACACACACACACACACACACACACACACACACAUUUUAAUUUGACAGAGUCGUAUUUUGUCCAUUCAACAAUCCAAAGAUAUUCUGAAGAAUGUGGAAACAGCAAAUUAAAUUUCUGUUGUUCGACUGAUUCAUUGAUGAUCAGUUGUUGUAGCUGUAGAUUCAUUAGGAGAUUUCUUGCUGUUAGCGACGUCCACGCAAGUCGGUUAUCUUUGAUCACAUGCAGAUAAUGAAUCCUGAUUUAAUGUGUAUGUUGUUCUUCACACUCACAUCCUGCACUUUACCUUUAGAAAACUUACAUAAAAGUCUGUAAAAAACAAUUCAGUUCAAAUGUUCGACUGUGUCGGCAAAGGCUCCAAAUUAAGAAAAUAUCACAAGUUUCCUUUGAUGGUUUCAGAAACUCGUUUGUGUCCUGUUGUGUUUUGUAUAAGAUCAGUGGAGAGGCAUGUGAGUGUUGUGACAGGUGGUUUCUUGCCCAGCAUGAACAAAACGCUGAAACUCUGAUGCGAACACACACACAAACACACACACACACACACACACACACACACACACACACACACACACACACACACACACAGCUGCAGGCCAGUGAAAAGAAAUGAUUCUACCAUUUGAUGAGAAAUGUAAUUGUUUAAAUACUGAGUCAUGCUCUGUGAACCAGAGUAGAGCAGUGAUAACUAGAAUGUAUGUGUGUAAGGCUCUACAGGUUCUGCAGGACCAAGGCUCUUUACCAUCCAUUUGAUAGACGCCAACACAGACAACCUGCCCAAGGCUCACACAUGUUUCAACAGGAUAGACAUCCCUCCCUACGAGUCUUACGAGAAACUUUAUGAGAAACUGCUGACGGCUGUGGAGGAGACCUGCGGCUUCGCUGUGGAGUGAUGAAUCCGCAACCAAAAAAAACCAACAUACACACAGUCACACUUGUGCUUGCACACCAACUAUUUGACAUUUUACACAUACACACGCCUCGACAGAAUAUCAAGUAUACACAGAGUAUACAGAGCAGCCAAGCAUCACGAGAACACACACACACACACACACACACGGCCUCUUGCCACCUCUUCACCACCGAACUGUUGGGGGUUAAAGGAGGAAGCACAGCAGGAGGGGAAAGAAAGAAAGAAGAAAAAACAAACAAACAAACAAAACAAAAAAAGAAAAGUAUUUUAAAAAUUUUUCAGAUGUUUUGAAGAAGCAUUUUUAUCCUUCAGUUUUAACAAGCUAUGAUGUCAUUCUUCAGAAUGUCUAACCGCCACAAGACUCAAGACGGUCGUGCUCGAGUGUCCGGACACAAUCAGCCAAUCGCAUAUGAGCCUGCGAACAGAGACGUUGAAGUCAGAUGUGUGAAGAACAAGGCGGGGACUGAUUGUCUUUCUGUCUCACAAGCUGAUUGACUGACUAGUAUUCAUGCUUCAUGUUUAACCACUGUCGUGUAUCAGAAUGUGUGUGUGUGUGUGCGCGCAUGUCAGAGAGUGAGAGCGGGACAUUUUGUGUGUGUGUGUGUGAGAGAGAGAGAGAGUGUGUGUGUGUGUGUCAGGCAUGGCACCCAGUUACGCUGUAAAAAAUGAUCAAAUGAGCCUGCUCCUCUGUUUGGUAACUCUUUGUCUCUUCCGUUUGUAUCUGCGACCACUCUGAUCCACUCUGAUAUUUUAUUAUUUAUUACUAAGUGAUUACCGACCAAGCUGCUAUAUGCUCUACAAAGAGCCGACACUAAUCUCUUCAUCGCCCCCUCUACCAGAGUUGAAGGGUCAGUUCACUUGCAAUUUCAAGUAAUCCACAAAGUGGGUUUUAUUGAAUUUCGUUACAUUUUUUUAACAUUCAUAUUAUUGCAGUGAAAUACUCUUGUCAGUGUAUGGAAACUGUUGGUGUGUUGGUGUUUUGAAUGCCAUGUUACAUUUAUUGAAGUGAAAGGGAUCGACUUUCCCAGGCCUAAUUUUAAAAUCUAACUCUACUGACGUUACGGAGAGGACCGAGGACACGUCCUGGAUAUUUUUUUUUUUUUUUUUUCAAAAUGAGCCACGACGGAUGGAAAGAAGGAGUCAGCUUCAGGAAUUCUUCGGUUGUAUGUGACAUGUAUAAUAAAAUCUCAAAAGCCUUUCAUACAUGUUUCAUCAUCCAUCUCACCAACCUUUUUUUAUUUCUCUGUGGCCCUGAUGUUUCUCUGCCUGUCUCUUUUUGUCAAUAGCCUGAAAGUUAGAAAAAGUAGUCAUUCUCCUCAAGACCACCAUGAAUGAACAAAGUCUCUUUACAGUCAUUAAUUUUCCAUAGAAGUGAAUGAAAUCAAAAACCUAAAUGUUGAGCGAGUAAUGUGGAAAACGUCGGGAUCUGUUGUAGAUUGGAGACUGUUAAGCAGUAUCAUUUCAAUCUGCAUUUUCUAGGUUCUGAGUUCACUGUGUAAUGGAUGCAAGAGUAUUGUAACUUACUAUGUACUAAACAUUUAUGAAAAAAUACAAUGUAAAUAAGAUUAUAUUAAAAGAAAUUAAAUUGAAAAUA